rnacentral:rRNA from 1 species
GCUCAUCACAUCCUGGGGCUGAAGUAGGUCCCAAGGGUAUGGCUGUUCGCCAUUUAAAGUGGUACGCGAGCUGGGUUUAGAACGUCGUGAGACAGUUCGGUCCCUAUCUGCCGUGGGCGCUGGAGAAUUGAGGGGGGCUGCUCCUAGUACGAGAGGACCGGAGUGGACGCAUCACUGGUGUUCGGGUUGUCAUGCCAAUGGCACUGCCCGGUAGCUAAAUGCGGAAGAGAUAAGUGCUGAAAGCAUCUAAGCAAG